rnacentral:misc_RNA from 1 species
ACUCCCAACCACACACAAAAGAUUAUCGCACAACCCAGUAUCCUUCACCAUUUGCACGGCUCAGUGGAGCCUCCCUUCACCAUUUCGCACAAGAACAAGAACAACCCAUCAACCUUUCUUUGCAAAUCACAUAACUAAAAUCUAGCUUUCAUCAUACAGAACUUCUCCGACCAAUUGCACUAAUUACAUCACUAAAUCCACCUUUAUAUUGUCAUCGAAGGAGAGAGUGAGUAAUAGAAAGAGGGCUUUCUCCUCGAAGACCAACUCGGUCAGCUAGUGGUGAAGGGCACGAUUUUGGAAGGGAGUCGAGCAUGGAGUUAAGAGGAUAAGACAGAGAAAUGAGAAUAGACAUUUG